rnacentral:rRNA from 1 species
CGCGUCAAUCAUUUGCGGCCCCAA